GAGUUUGAUUCUGGCUCACAACGAACGCUGGCGGCGUGGAUAAGACAUGCAAGUCGAACGAGGAAUACGAAUAGCUUGCUAAUUGUAUUCUUAGUGGCGAACGGGUGCGUAACACGUGAGAAACCUGCCUGGAAGAGGGGCAUAGCCUGGGGAAACUCGGAUUAAUACCGCAUGUGAUCGUUGAAGACAUCUUCGAACGAUUAAAGGUGCCGCAAGGUGCCACUUCCAGAUGGUCUCGCGGCCUAUCAGUUUGAUGGUGAGGUAACGGCUCACCAUGGCGACGACGGGUAGCUGGUCUGAGAGGAUGGUCAGCCACACUGGAACUGAGACACGGUCCAGACACCUACGGGUGGCAGCAGUCGAGAAUCAUUCGCAAUGGGCGAAAGCCUGACGGUGCGACGCCGCGUGGAGGAUGAAGGCCCUCGGGUUGUAAACUCCCUGUCAUCAGGGAGUAAGGCUACGGUAGUAACUGACCUGUAGAUUGAUAGUACCUGAAGAGGAAGAGACGGCUAACUCUGUGCCAGCAGCCGCGGUAAUACAGAGGUCUCAAGCGUUGUUCGGAUUUACUGGGCGUAAAGCGUGCGUAGGCGGCGAGGUAAGUCAGAUGUGAAAGCUCGGGGCUCAACCCCG
rnacentral:rRNA from 1 species